rnacentral:piRNA from 1 species
UGCAAAAAGCUCUCCACGGCAUCCAUC